ACUGUUGUUGACGGUCUUGAGGUAGCCGCCGGCAUUGGUGUUCUUGGGGUUGUGGACGGACCCGUCGGUGACCUCGCCUUCUUCUGACCAAGAAACUUCCUGGCAACAUGACGCGAUUUAGAUCUUCUUUCUUCUCUUCUUCCAAACUAGAUGACCCGGUUGUGCCAAUGGCACAAGAACCCAGUUAGAAGCGAUGUUAGUAGUGAGUAAGUAGUAUAUGUAGAUGGAAAGAUAAUGCAAUGUAGAUUGUAUGACAAAUAGUAGGAUGACUUAAAUUGAAUUCAGACAAAAAAAAAUGUUUAGAAAAGGAAGUAAGCAAUUGUGGAUAUGAUGGUGGUUACAAUAAUAGUGUUAACUUGGAUUUCAGAAAGUAUUAAUUUCCCUUUUAGGUCUUUUGGGAUAUUGAUGGACGAUCAUACAUAGGGGAAUGUAAAUGGAUUCUUUAUCUAUAUUGGUCAUAGAAGCAGAAAGCUUGUCACCUAAAUAUAAGAAAAUAUUUGCAUUAAACAGCAGGGUUUAGACGCAGCUGGAGAAUAUUACACGGAUCAAACAUAGCAUCAUGGAUUCCAAAUUUAUACAUAUCAGAGACUAGCGCCAAAAGCAGAGAGUGGUGCCAAAAGCAAACAGGUUCUGAGGGUGAAGCUAUACAGACAGAGCUUCAUAGGCUAUUUAGGUAGUUUAGUAGACUGAACAAGAUAACCAAAGAGUCCAGUGCCAAAAGCUUCUUACGGUGACGCUAUACACACAGAACUUCAUAGGCUAAUUAAGUAGUUUAUUAGACUGAACACGAUGCUCAGAGGGCGUGCACGGUGAGACGCAGGUGCUUGUGGUUGCACUUGAAGGCGAAGGCAUAUAUUUCUCUUUCCUUCGUAUUAGCUGCGGGGAAGAAGCCAGCCCAGCCUCUGGUAAUUGUUGCCCUGUUAUCGACUCCUUUGAUUAGACGGGCUUUGAUGUAGGGAUUUCCAUCUCUAGAUUUUAUUGGCAAGUCAUAAAGCUUUGGGUCAAUACAAUGGUGAAGAUAUUUCUUGGUAAAAUUGACUAAGAAAUACUGUAAAUGAAAGGUAACAACACUGAGAAAAGAAAUAUUGGAAAUGAAAGGUAACAACACUAAGAAGAAUUGUAUAUAUAAUUGCAGGUGAUGUGUAUAGGGUCUUGGCAUUCUUUGAGUGGCAAACAUGUGAGCCGCUUCCUGUAUAGCCUCACUUUGUUUCCCCAUCAAUGACCAUCAAAGCUUAGAAAGUAGAUAGUGUCGGGUGCCCCUAUGCAAUGGUAUAUAAAAUGGUUGGUGUAAGCAUAUGCAUUUACUGGUAUUAGUAGAGUAAAUGAAAACAUUGCUUGAUCAUACGGGUUAUGUAGGCCUUGUGUUCAGCCUUCUUCGGUUUUAUAAAUUUAGUUGUAGGUGUUGUAUGAUGAUAAUCAUGAAGAGGGUUUGAAAGAUUAGUAUGAAUAGGAAGGCAAAUGAAAUUCGGAAUAAUGGCAUUACAAUGGUAAUGGUACAUGGUUUUGUACCAUGCGAUGCAUGCUCCUUUUUCUUGUUUUUCUUGGCAUUCAUGCAACGGUGCGAAGGGCCUACAGAGUUAUAAACAGUAAGAGGUUUAAAACCUGAGUAUAAGCAGUGGGUUUUAAAAGUAAAGCUGUCGUGGUGUGCUUACCGGCAUCAUUACUGAUGUUGAUAACAGUUAGUUUGUAGGCUGCGUUGUUAGGCUGAGGAAGCGAUUCGGAAGACCCGCCAUCAACACCACUGUAAAUAACAUUAUAGAUUUUCAGCAAGGAAAUGCCGCAGUUGUUAUUCUGGUUAACUAUGUCCUUUCUUAAUGCUAUGCAAUAGUCCUUGACAUAAAGACAACUCAAAUCAAAAGAAAGCUAGGUAAAUACUUUCAAAGCAUCCAGAUGGUGGGCACAAACAUCAAUACAAAAAGUGAUAUAAAAUAUUAAGAAAUUUUAGGUUCAUUUAUGUUAUUCCAAGCCAAAAUGUCCCAACCAAAGAGUAGUUGUACCAGCAGAAUAAACAUACCAGGUUUUUUUUAGAACAAAGCAGGAAAGCGCCCAUGGCUAGGAAGCCACAAGAACAAACGACCAAACACAGUACCGCUAUUCGUACAGUCGCUAUUGCUACAAUAGAAUGAGAAUUUUUUUCUUAAUGUUCUUUCUCUCGAUGAAAAAACAGGAUGUUUGCAUGCAUUAUAGAAUAAUAUGAAACAAUGAUAAAUUAGUUGUAGCCCAACUCAGCAUAGAGAUUCAUGCAUUAGAGGAUAGUGGGUUUUAGAGAUAUUGUGUAGUUUCCAGACCAGCAGGCAGCUGACCACAAGUCCGGUUGUACUCCUCGGUGAAUCCAGAUCUUGGGCGGGUUGUCAAUGGACGCCCUUGGCAUAUGCCGUUGGUGGCCCCGAUCUCAAAAAGUCCAGUGCAUUCACCUGUGUUUAGAGAGACAUGACACUAUCAAGACAUGACACUAUCAGACAAAUGCAACAAGGGGUAGGAACCAAAGGCAUGCCAGGGAAAGUUCAGUAGACCUCAUGCUGUAACGUCAGCUAAGCGACUUUCUGUUGAUCCUCAAAAAAAAACUAAGCAACUUUCUACUGAGCAACAAAACUAAAAAGUGGUGUUGUAACAACCUGGGUUCUGGUACUGUGGUCGAAAUGAAUCAGCAAGGGUCCAAUCAGAAGCUAAAAUUCUUUAUAGGUUCUGGUACUGACUACAAAAAGAAAAAACUGGAAAUUUUACUUAUGCACAGUAUAAGUGCCUAGCCAUCAAUUUUUUGCAUCAAAUAUCACAGAAUCCUAUAAAUACAUAUAUCAAAAAAAUCUUCUAAUACUCUAGUAACAUAAUCUAAUAAUUAACAUAUUAACUACACUAUUGCUUGAAGGGUCCAAUCAGAAGCUCCUAAUUAUUUUAGUCUGCCUGGCAAUCUCUGUGUUGCAAUCUUCAAGCAUAUUUUAUAACCAACUUAAUUAUUCAUUGAUAAUGAGGAAGAAGAACUACCUGAGCAGCUGAGAGGAGGACUUGUAUACACUAAAAUCCAAUCUUGUCCAGUGAGAGGAUAUUAAGCAUACAUGUCCACUGAACCUACAAUGCCAAUGAUCUGUUGUGAUACGGUCCCUGAAAUUUACGAUGCUAUAUAAAAUAAUUUUGAGUAGUAGGCAACCACACCAUAACUGAAUCUAUCAGCAAGCAAAAGUCACAUUCCAAUUUUGAAGUAAGCAUGCAAUUUCCAAGUUAAAUGCAAACAUACUGUAUGAACCGGAGAGAAUAGAUCUCAAUGGAUUAAAUAAGCAAUAGAUACAAAAUAUGUACCUGAGGCUGAACUUAUUUAGAAACUUAAUAACUAAACUAUAUGUGUGAGCUAGUAAUCUCUCCCAUAUACUGAAAAGGAAAGAUUGCUAGUAAAAGAGUCAACAAGACAACCAAUAUGCCCAAGCUCCAGAGAAAGAAAUAACCCAAAUACACUACCAAAGCAAAGAAAAAGUGACAGGGAAAAGAAAAGAAUGAUCGACCUAAAGAGAUUGUAAGAAAAACAAAAAUAGUCACAAAUCAUUUGUCCUUUCUGAGUUGAAUUACUCCUUCCAAAGCAAAUGGUCAAGCUGGCUGUAGGAAGGAACACCCAAAAACAUGGCAAGAAAAGGGCAUCAGUAAAAAUGAGAAAAAUAUAUCUAUAUGAAUAAUCAUAAGGAGUUGAUGGGAGGGAGAAGCAUACCUAGCAGAAUUUCGCACCGACAUGUUAGGUUUUGUUGAGACGGACACCAAGUCGAGCAUUGGAAUAAAUUGUACACAGACUUGCAAGCACCAUGGAGUACAAUUUCACAACCAAAUCAAAAGUACACAGGUGGAGCACGGUAGGGAAGCAAGGGAAUGGAAGAAGGAGCUCAUAGGGAAGAUGCGACCAUAAAGUGAAGAGGGAGUCCAGCGGUGUAUCCUCAUCUCCUCCCCUGCUGCUCCUCGAUGGUGCGCCCCUCCUACGAUGGCGACCGAAGGAAGUGGCCGGUGGGCAUUGUCGGCAGGGCUGAGCCAUCUUCCUCGCUGGCUCUGUCUUCCCCAUCUUCCUCGGUGUUGACCACUCAGCUAGCUCUAGAGAGAAAUAGAUACAUAAACCGCAAGAAAUAGAUACAGAAACUGCAGCACUUAUCAAUAAAUAUAUGAGUUUAAAAGGGAGCAGUAAGCCCUUUUCUCUCGGUUAAGAGAUCAUGGAGAGAUAAAUAUGAGCUUGCUCGUAAAUAUGCGAUAACAAUUCAAUUGCAUGAAGCCGAGCAAAUCCUUUUUAGGACAUAAAUCUUUGAUUUGGCUAGUACCAAAAUUGGCUAGUAAUUUACCCUUGCCAUCACAAAAAGUACAUGUAGUACCUAACAUGAAAAAGUAAAAAGAGAUGGAAUUAAUCACACCGAUAAAACCACACAUCAAUAAAAAAGAGGGAAUUACAUACAAGAUUAUCCAUGUAAGUCUAGGUGCAUAUGAAGAUUGUACUGAAUAGCAUUUGUACAGAAGAUAUAAAAGAACACCAAAUUACACAUUACUGAAGUGAACAUAGAAACUGGCAGCAAAAUAUAAGAGGAUAAAACUUUGAACAUGUUGAUCGACAAUUCUCUAUAGCUUGCAAAUACACCAAUGAAAGGCAACGUGCAAUUUGAUGAUACAAACCUGGCUAAAGUUAGUAGAGUCAAAGUGCCUAAACCUGAAAGAAAAUAGUGGCACCACAAAAUGCCUCUCAACCACCUGUUGGCUAGAUUUAUUUUAGACGGUGGAGUGUACAACCCCUACAAACUAAAACAAAAAAUAAUAAGCACGAGAAUGGCAAACAAUGCAAAUAAAAAACAGUUCAUUCGGUAGCAACCCACAACGCUAAUGGCUAGUCAAGUGAAAUAUAUAGAUGAAAAUGAUAAAAAAAACAUCCAUAUAUUUAGAUACCAAUAAGGGCAUAUCCAAGCAUUACAUGCAUGACAACCUCAAAUCGAUGGGGUCUGUUUGGUUAGAUCAGAAUGAGCAAAAUGGAAAACAGUUGCAAACAUUCAGCACAAGGGAACAAUGGUGAAGUGACUCACUCUACACUCCAAUCUUGCAUAGCAUCACAGUAAUGCCAGGUCACUCAUGGGAAUUAAAAUAAAUUAAUCACAUCAUGCUACAAAAAAAACAGAAAAGAAAAGUCAAACCCUCUAUCCUAGACCUUCCUCCCUGUGAAUUUCUAAGACACAGGGGCAGCACAAAGGAAGACAUUUUUGCAUAUAAUAUUCAUAAAUGAAGUUUUUACUCAUUAUCCAUUAGUAACAGAGACAGCUUAAUAAUAUGAUUUCUUGGUAGACAAACAAUUACAAGAUGUGACAGUAGUGUGAUGACACAAAUAACAUAUUAAAAUACCAAUAAAUUUAGAAAAAUGGAUGAUGAAUGACUAAAUUUACCAAACCAAAUAAGGUCCAGAUACUACAGGUAAUAACUAAUCACUUGACUAAUUGCAGGUAAUGCAUAAUCGAACUACUGAAAUGGCAUGUACAGGCAGCCACCAAGAUCUGUAAUGCAGUCAUAAACCUGCACAUUAAAAGGCUGAUAUUGUUCUUAUUCAUUACUGCCUCAUACAACAGAUCCGACCAACCUAUAGCUCAGGUGGUGCUCUCCAAGGCGGAGAAAAUGACGACCACCCGACCAGGUUGUGCGCAGCAACGGAAUCCUCUUGCUCGGCCGUGGCGUCGAUUACUGCCGUGUAGUAACACAUCUCUAAGCUGCAGCACAAAAAUCAUUCCUAUUCAGAAGAAAACAGAAGUGCUGACGGGUACGAAAGAAUUUCGUCUGUAGAUACUAAUUAGACCAGGAAGCAACGGAAGUACGAACCAGAGCGCCUGUAGGUACGAAUCCGCAGAGGCUGGCGAACGCGUUGCGCGAGAACCCCGUCCACGCCUCCGGGAAGGAGCCAUUGACGACGUACACGAACUACGUCGCAUUGAUGAGCCACCAGGAGGCGUUGCCGACCAUGGCCGCGCCCAGGAGGCCACGGCCGAGCCUGGCCACGAUGACCCAGUUGAGCAGCGCAUGCACGCCGACCGCUGCGCCUGCAACUCUCACUGCCUCCCAAGAAGGAUGUGCCAGGAUGCGUCGGGAUGGACGCGGAUCAGGACGGGCGGCCUGCGGCGGCGGCGUGCUCCUCCAUUAGGCUGGGAAGCCUUCCUGACCACCCCUGUUGUCGGGUGACCUGCGUGCGAGCGAUUGAAAGGCGAGGAGGAGGAAGAGGCGAGGCGGUGGAGGAGUAGGAGUUGGCGGCCGGGCUCCUAGGGCGGAGAAGGAGGAGGAGGAGGUGGGAGGGAGCGUGGCGGCGGGUGAGGGAGGGAGGAGGAAGGAGCGUGGGGGCUGUGGAUUGGGGAGGGAGAGGGAGGGGCGUGGGGGCUGUGGAUUGGGGUUAGGGUUCACGCGGUUGCCAGCCAAUCAGAAACUGCUCACGCUCCGCCAAUCUUCACGUAACGUACAGAGAAACCCAGCCUCUGGUUGCUGGCCCCCACAGUCUCAGGACCCCACCCGUCAUCCUCUGUUGAAGUGGCCACAGACGUGAAAAAAAUGGACGGUUGGCCAGACGCCAGCUACCAAAAAAAAACACUGUUACCGCCUGAGUAACUCGAUCGCGCGGUCAAAAAACACAGUGCGUGCUCGAUGCCUCCAGAUCGGCGGGUACUUUAGGAGGCUUUAUAUGUUCGAUGAGGUGAGCUGAGCUGAGUGAGGUGGAUGUGGUGUUUGCUUUGCUCCGGUUGGGUUGAGGAAGCCUGCAUCGAUGGGAAUGUAUAUAUAGGAGUAUAAUGGGCUGUUGAGGUGUUCGACCAGUCAGUCUCUUUUGUUUUGUUGGAAGUAGAUAUGCAUAUUCAAUGCAUGCAUUAGUUAUUGAUUGAUGGAUGAAUGGACUAACGGAUGGAUGGAUGCGGUUGGUCAAUGGUCGUGGUCGUCGCCGCGUUGGUCUUCCUUUCUUAUACAUCAGAAUUAGCGUUAGGCUAGUCAUAGUGGGGAGUAACUUAAACUAGCACUAUUAGGAAAAACCUUAUCACAAAAUCUUAACAGCAGCGCGGUUUAAAAACAGACGCUACUGCUAAUUAGCAGUAGCGAGCUUCAGAAUACCGCGCUACUAAUAGCACGGUAGCAGUAGCGGUCUAGGUGAAACAAGCGCUACUACUAUAAUUGCCACGGCGUUGCCCCCAGGCUAGAUAUAGUAGUAGCGCCCUUCCGAAGAUGCGCUACUGCUAACGUACUUAGUAGCAACGUUUUUCUUCAAAACACGCUACUGCUAAGUAUUGCACCUAAUUAAGUUUAGUCCCAUACUGCUAAGCGAACAAGGUGUUUACCACCUUAAAUAUGUUACUUCUCAAACUAUCUCGAGCACUUGGUCUUCAUUGAACUAUAUGUGUAGGAUUUGUGGCUGCCAUAUGAAUCUUCACCAGUGCCUAUAUAGGUACUGUGAGGAUUCAUGUUGACUAUUUAGAUUCUACACAAAAAGAUCAAUGAUGACCAAUGUAUAUUUUUGAAGUUUUUACAUGCUUAGACAUAGCAGUAGCGUUUUUUCAGUGCAAAGCGCUACUGAUAUUAUAAAACAGAAAGGAAUAGCUGUAGCGCAUUUCACUUGACACGCUAUAGCUAACUUAGCUAUAGCACAUUCCAGAAAAACGCGCUACUGCUAGUUUGACUUAACCCCCGGCCGCGCGGGCUUAAAAUUUCGCUAAGUCCUUUGACUCCACUUCCCCCUCUCCCCCAACUGCUCCAUCGCCGCCGUCGCACUGCCGCUCUCGACCUCACCGCCGCCGCCUACCGCCGCCCUCAACCUCACCACCGUCGCCGCCCUCGACGCCGCCCCCGACCCCGACCUCGACGCCGCCCCGACCCCGACAUCGACGGCGCCCUCCGCCGCGUGCCCGAGCCCUGACCCCGUCCUCGACGCCGCCUGCCCCUCCCUUGCCGCAGUCACCAUAAGGCUCUGCCUCUCCUCUCCCCUACCCUCCUUCUCUCUCUGCUAGGGCAAUUCAUAUAUGUGUUGAUGUUCAUAUGAACCCUAGGUGUUCAUAUGAACCCUAGAUUUGUUUAGGGCAGUAGGCAUUUUUUAGCAUUUAAGAAAAAUGCUAAGCAAUUUUUUUAGGAAAUUAGCUAGGGCAAAUGUUUAUGAAAAUGCCUAAAGAGUAAUUUCAUUCAAAAAACAAAAAACAGAAUUGUUUUUCUUUCAAAAACUUGGUUAAACUAAUUGUUGCUAUGUAAACAAAAAACAAGAUUGUUGUUAUAUGAUAUAUGUCAUUGAUGUUCAUUUGCAUAUUCCAUUAUUGAAGUGGUUCGAUUGUGCCCAAGUGGCUUUGUUGUUUCCAGGGAAUGAAGUCGAGUGCCCUAUGUUUUGCCGAAAUGUUGAUUCAUUUCCGUUUCGGCAAAUUUCAGGUUCUCGAUUUGUCCACUUUUUAGUAAAAGUCAUGCCGAAAUUUUCCGUGAAUUUCGGCAUGACUUGUGCUACAAACUAGGACAUAUCGAGUGCCUGGGAUUUGCCGCACCGGGAAGGAGUCAAUAUUCCUGCAAAGCAUAGGCCUUUUUUAUGUCAUUAUUCAUUUUAUUACGUAUAGACUUAAUUGACUAGAUUUAAACGUAAGAACUAGUUGAAUUAAUAGAACUAGUUGAACACGUCACAUUUGUUGUUAUUUUUUUAGUUAAAGCAAUUUUUCCCGCAUCGACGUCGACGAUGCCUAUCCCGCAUCCUCGUCGUCGAGUCGGCGGAGGACACCUGCGUCACCAGAUGGGCCAUGUCCGGGACUGGGCUCCGCCGGGGUGGUACUGGGAGGCGCUACCUACCGGGGGGCACAGGUUGGUGAGGAGCCAGUCUGUCGUUGACCCGAACCUUCUUUGGUGGCGGUCGCGUGGGCCAGUGACGGUCCAGAGGCUUGAGGACCCCGCGGAGGUGGUGCGUCACCAUGUCAGUGAGGAGGACGCGCACGUCCGUCGCUACUUGUUUGCGUUGGAGCACAGGUUCUCCAAUACAUGGCAGGUUCUCCAGGGAUCUCACUAGAGCUAUGAUCUUGUGAUGGUUCCUUCUCUUUGGGUGUCCACCGCCCGCGCCGAUACCCGUCGUGCGCAAGGGUUUUAGUUGUAUUAGUGAUGUUAUAUGUAUGAUACUAUUCGGGAUGUAUUAGUGAUAAUAUUCGAGGAUGUACGGACGCAUGAGAUGAUUUACUUUUGCUUAUUGAAUGCAUGCUAAUUUGAAUACUUAUUUAUUUUACGAUUUGGUUUUGCUUAUUGAAUGCUCAUGUCAAUAUGAGUCCUAUAAGAUGUUUUGAGUAUCCUGGUAGUUGUCUUCGAUUGAUUUUCAAUUAAUGUUUCAACUAUGAACAUAGGAAAUGUCUGACAACGAAAAGGAUUUCGGUAUUUGCAAAUACUGCGAAGACGAGCGCGGCCUGUGCGACAGAAUCUUCCUAGAUGAUGAUAGGCGCUUCAGCAUCAAGCUGGACGUGAACUUCGAAGUGGAUACAGUAAGUCACAACGACAAGUCUUUUUUCGUAAUUAAGCAUGACAUCUGCUUCAUUUGCUUCAACUUAUAAUUUAAUUUUUUUACUAUUCUACUAGCCUAUCCCCUUCCAUGCAAGAGUUUUUGUCUUGGAUAAGGUAGGUUUCAGUCGUACUAUGGAGGUAAAGAAAGUUUACUUGAAUACCGAGCAUGGUUGUAUUUUUCAUGCAAAAUUAUACAACACAGACGACUACACCUAUUUUGGAUGCAAAACUUGGCGAGCACUAUGCAAGACUUAUGCAUUUGAGCCUGAUAUGGUUAUCACCUUUGAUAUUCGUCCGGAAGAUGAUAUUGAAGGUAAUAUCGACAUCUGGGUCGAUGUACAGACGCCUCUAGUUAUACCAUUAUGUGAGUUUCUCAACCAUAUUUAUGUCUUUGAUAUUGUUCAUUCAAAAAUAGUUGACAACUAAUUUUUAUUGUCAGCUUAUUUCCAUUCAAGAAAACAUGUCCAACGCUUGGUAGACAGGACCUACUACUGUCCCCGGGCUGAACUGAACUGCGAGGAGCUAAGUCAUUAUGUUUCAUGCCUUGAGGAUCUUGAUACUGUCAAGACAAAUUUUCUUCCUGCACUUAGAAAUGUUAAUACUGAAAAUGUGCGACCAAUAGUGUUCGUAAUGAACUAUGGUCACAUCUAUUAGGAAAGAUGGUAAGAUAUUUACUAUUUGCCCUCAGUGCAUCUUUUGCAUACAUUAUUUUUUAAGCUAAACUUUAUUGCUAAGUAUGUUACUAUAUGAUGUUCUUCAACAGGGACUCCCGAUGAAUGUUGUGCCUCAUGGGAUCGAGACUAAAGGUACCAUGAGUAUUGUUAGCUUACGGCCAAGAUAUCCUACAAUGCACUUUAGUGCAUUCAGGAUUUCUAAUAGCGAAGAAUGCUUAAUAGUGAAAGACUGGACCAAAUUUGUGAUGGAGGAGUGCAGAGAAGUAGUAGGUGGCAGCAAUCAAGAGCGCAGCCCAUGAUUAGGAGACAGGUUCAUCUGCAUGCUCCAACUUGAUGAAGGAGGAGAGCUACACAUGUUUUAUGUUAUUUUACCUGAGAGAGAGCAGCAGGAGUGAUUAGCUACCUAGAAAUGAGUUUGAAGAUGAUGAUGUGCUACACUAUGACUAUGUUGAUUAAAUAGCUAGUGUUGGUGGUAAUGACUAUGAUGAUUAUUAUUAGCUAGUGUUGGUGGUGAUUAGAUAGCUACCGCAUCUAGUGUUGGUGGUGAUUAGCUAGCUAGCUAGAAUGAGUUUGAAGAUCAUGAUGUGCUACACUAUGACUAUGGUGAUUAAAUAAAUACUGUUGCUGGUAAUGACUAUGAUGAUGAUUAAAUAGCUUGUGCUGGCGGAUUAGAUUCAAAUGGAGGCAACAUGUGGUGCACAUCGAAAGUACUACUAGUCCAAACUAGAUCAAGUUUGGAUUAGUAGUAUACUUUUGACAUGCACCACAUAUUGCCUCCACUCGAACCUAAUCCACCUUCAUUUGACACACUGUUAUGGACAUAAUGAUAUAAACCUCAUAAUUGGUAUUGUAUCAAAAUUUGUAUAACGGCGUAUAAAUACACUAAAAAAAAGAAUACUUGUAGCGAUGGAUAGUAAACACGCUGCAACUAGCUAGAUUAGCAGCAGCGCGGGAGAGAACAAGCGCUGCCGCUAUGUGUCUUAGCAGCAGCGCGUGUCGCACGCGCUACUGCUAAGUAAUAGCUGUAGCAGCCUCAAGUUUUCCCUAGUUGCGUAGUAACAUACAUAUGUUACUACUCCAUGUUACCACCUUCAUAGUGGGAAGUGUCAUAGGUGUAGUAACAUGCAUAUCUUUCUUUGUUGCCUUGUAGACUCAUUUUGUAUUGGGAACUGCUAUGUGAUGGUAACAUAUUAUGUUACUCUAUUUGUCUCUCUCCUCUUUAAUUACAUGACACAUCAUCUUGUUUGCUUAUGUGGCAUCUAUGUUACUACUUAUGUUACUCUCACUAUGUCUAGCCUAAGGUGGAGAUUAGGAAAUAGAAAACUAACAGAAUAAGGAUAAAUUGUAUAAUUACAUACAAAAUUAUAAACAACAUGCAAGAUGUGGAAUCCAUCUGUGUGCCGACUCGGUUGGGGAUUGUGCACACGGCAUGAUUGCUGAAAGUUGGUCUGUUAGUGAUGGUCAAUCAUGGAUGAUAUUUUCUUUGCAGUAAGUGUACCUAUACUGCAUGCAUGCAGUAAUACAAGUGGCAAUCCAUCUUGUCCCUUGUUAACCAGCACUGGCUCGGUCGAAGAGCAUAGGACAUGCCACAACCACACCACUAUACUCGUCAACUAUAUAUUAGUCAAAUUAUACUUGAUUAGGAAGGUAGGCUUAGACCAUGUCAAGAUUCAAGGAAGAAUGUUGCCUUCCUCAACCCUUCCUUUCCUAAUUAAUUUGGUCCUCGAAGUACCAUUGCAUUGCAAUGGCCACAAGUAUUGGAGUAAGUUAAGUAUGUGAAACAUGUGCCAGCUUCUGUCGAUCGGUGAGAUGCUGUAGGUAUUAGAGUCACCGGAGUCUUGCAACUACGUAGUCUAGCUUCUGAUUUGGCACUCUAACUCAGCUGGCCGCAUGACUCUUCCAGUCACCAAACCACCAUCACAAUCGCCACGGUGAUGACAAAUAAUGCCGGCACUAACAGUAAAUGAUAGAAAAGAAACUGGAUGGACACAGGGAACACAACCUACCACACGUCUUCACAACACAAGAGAAAAAAAUUACUUAACGAGAACCAGCACGCUUCUGGCCUACAUACAAACUAGCCAUGUGGACUUCGCGGGCUAGAUCGAGACGAGUUUACAAAUUGACUUCUUGCAACCUAAACUAACCUACUUGACACAAACACACCCAAGUUCAUCAUCGAGUUUACAAAUUGACUUAUUUAACCUAAUCUAAUCUUGACAGAAAUACACUUAACUUCAUCAUGCAGGCCAACAUCGAUGGAGAUCUACGAGCAGUUCGAUGGGCGGCUGCUCUCACUUGUUUUGGGGCUUCUUCUUAGACAGCAGCAUCUGCAUCUUCUUAGAUGUCGUGGGUUUCGUCUUGGUCACCACCUUCUUCUUCUUAGACGAAGCGGACGGUGCCUGCUUCACCUUAGCCUCCGCCUUCUGAGGGAGAUACUUUGUACCUGGCUUUCCCAUGACGCGAUCUGCUUAUCUUCUUCUUUUGGUCGAUGCGGUGUUUCCUUUGCUCCGCUUGGGUUGAGGGAACCUGCAGCAACGGCAGCAUUUAUAUAGGCCGGACAACACGCUUCUCCCAUGGUAAUGGUUUGGUGACAUUGCUGCAACCAGUCAGUCUCUUUGAUUUGGUUUUUUAGAACAAUUGUUAUUGACGGAUUAAUGUGGUUGGGUUAAUGGUCGUGGUCAUUGCCGCGUUGGUCUUUUUUUUUCUCCUCCUCAUUAUACUACUAUUACUACCACAUCAGAAUUAGCUAGCAUUAAACAAAUGAAAUAGCUAGCGUUACUGAUUAAGUUUUAGGUACAUAUGUGUAGUCAUAUGCAUAUGCAUAUCUACGUCAUGAGUUAUAUAGAUCGGUGAUGUACGAAUACGCGCUUUUGCUGUUGUAUCUUGUAUAAGAUUUUCAACUAGUUCUUGAGCUUGGAUUGUCAAAACCAAUUCUAAUCGUAUAUGGUCUACCAUGUAUACAUGGCAUAUAUAUAUAAGGUAUGUACGAUUUUAGUGUUUAGGAUAGCAACUGGGUGGCCUCGCACUCGAGGCAGAGGAAUAAGGAGUUCCUUGACGUCAUGAUCAGGGUGCUGAUUGCGGCUGGGUGCCUUCUGGUGUAGCUUCUUUGACGGUGCUUCGUCGGCUCUGUGGAGCUUUGUACCCCAUUUUUCUUUUCUUUUCCGGCAUAAUUGUGUUGUUGCCCUAGCAGGUCCUUUAUUUUUAUGUUUGACCCUUGAACUUGUUGUACAUACAUCAUGGUCUGCCUUUAUAUAUAAAGCUGGGCGAAAGCCUAUUUCGAGACUCGGUGACCCCGCCUGUCGACUUGUGUGACCAUGAGUGGGACAAGAUACUCGAUUUGCCUAUCUUGUUGAAUGCAAGGUGCUUAGGGGAGGUUCUUAGAGAAAUAAACCAACUUUUCUUUGUGCAUCAAUUCUUGUUUGUAGGGGUAGAUGCUUAAUUAGGCAUCCCUCCUAUAGAGAUAACCGAUGGUUCUUAAACAAGAAACUUAAAGGUUUUUCUUUUGAAUCAGCGGACGUUCAUAUACAUGAAUGUACACUCCUUUAUGAAUUCACACACGCACACUCUAUCCCUUAUGAGCACCUCCAAGAAAUUGAACCAACAGGUCGCGAGAUUGACGAAGUCACGACUUGUGCAUCGCUACCGAUGGGCUCAUCGCUUACAGCAAAAUAAUAAGUCAUUAAACCAUGAAAUAUAUCCGGAAAAGUGCAAACACCCUUCUCAAGUCAAGGACUUGAACCCGGUUGGAUAGCUUCCACCACAAGGAACAUAACAAACUGUGCUAUGCUCAAUUCACCGAAGAGAUAAUGGUUUGCAAUGUAUUAACCCUAUAUGUAUCUCUUUUCUGACUCUUUCUUUUUAUUCAACUUCCCGACAAUAACCUCCCACACGACUCAUAACAGAAAACAAGGAAAAAAAGACUUAACUUGGCCGCAACGUGAACCAGCACGUUUCUGGCCUACAGACAAACUAGCUACGGAUUCUACAGGAGUGAUCGGAUCAAAUCAAGCUUACAAAUUAACUUAUUGUAACUCAAACUGACCUACUCGACAGAAACACACUUAAAGUUCAUCUUGGCCAGUGGACGUCGAUCACCGCAUGUCUGUUGUCACCUUUUUCGAGGCUAAUUCUUCUUAGAUGGCGUCGUCUGUUUCAUCUGCUUCUUCUGAGGCAGGAGCGACGUCCUCCUAGAGGUCACUGUCUUUGUCAACUGUGUGUUGCUUGACGAUGCCUUCGCCUUCUUUGGGGGAACCAUUGCAGCUUGCUCACCCAUGACAAGAUCUGCUUCUCUUCUAAUAAUCCUUCUUCUCCAGUGAGGUAGCUGAGGUGAGGUGGAUAUAGUGUUUACUUUGCUCUGGUUGAGUUGAGGAAGCCUACGGUAAUGCCUCCAUAUAUAUAGGAGGGGGAAGGUCUUUGAGAAAGCGCUCCAGCCGGACGACGCACUUCCACCGUGCGUGAGAAUGGUUUGGUGGCGUUAAUGUUGCCAGUGCCAGUCAGUGUCUUUUGUUUUGUUUUGGGAGUAGAUAUUUACUAGUACUGCCUCUGUUCCUAAAUAUAGGUCUUUCUAGAGAUCUCAACAAGUGACUACAUACGGAGCAAAAUGAGUGAAUCUACAAUCUAAAAUACGUCUAUAUACAUCCGUAUGUGGUAGUUCAUUUUGAAAUCUCUAAAAAGACUUAUAUUUAGAAAUGGAGGGAGUAUAUUCAAUGCAUUGUUCUUCAUGGAUGGGUAUGCAGUUGGGUCAAUGGUUGUGGUCGCUGCCGCGUUGGUCUUCGUUUCUUCUCCUCCGGCUCCUUAUAUUACAACUACAUCAGAAUAAGUGUUGGUGGUUCAGUUUUGGUAGCACACGCCAUACACACACACACUGCUUGUUAGUUGUUAGUCAUAUAUAUUCAUGUGCUGUACGUCCUUCAUCAUUGAUGUAGUAAGUGCACACGAUGUUGCCAUUGUAUGAGAUGUUUUGAUAGAGCUUAAGUUUAGAUUAGUUAAACCGAUUGUUAUCAUGUGCGACAAAUCCUGUAUAUAUGUUUGUAACGUUGUAUAUUAGUUUCCGCAACAAAAACUUUGUAUACUAGUUAGGGGUCGAGUUGAGAAACGGGAGAGAAGAGUUAUUUACCCAGGUUCAGACCUUGCAAGGGAGAAGUUCUCUCUGUUCUAUUCAACGGAAUUCUUCAGUUAUUAUGGCUUGUUGACUAUUUGGUUUCUGGGUGUUUGCCUAAAUUCAUAACUUUUGAUGGCGGGCCAAAAAUAUGUCAAUUUUCUCCCCUCAAAAUGGUUGGGCCCAUACCGACGAUGCGAGAGGUGGUACCAUGUGCCACCAUAUGUCAAGUGUUUGGAAUAAAUGCAUCGCAUUACACAUUAGUUGUAUAGAUGUCCAUCAUACAUUUAAAACAUUAAGAUGAUUUUGAAAAAUGCCUCCUUCUGAAACCCUAACUGCCACGGCUCAAUUAUGCAGGGAUUCUGGAAAGAAUACUAACUACCUACUACGAAGUAGCCAUACCAACUAACUAUUGAUCAUACUAAUCUAUCUAUAUAUACCUAGUGUUGAUUCAGUCGGAAAGCACAAGGCGUGCCGCGCCACUAAAGCGGUCAAACAUUAGUCAAAUUAUAUUUCAUCAGCUGGCAAGUAGCAUUUUUUUAAUUUUUUGCUAACUUUCUAGAGAUUUUUUUUCUUUCAAAGUUCUUUAGUGAAUUUUAUCAAUAUGCUUGAACUCUUUUAAAAUCCAUGAAACUUUUUUCUCAAAACCAUUGAAAUUGUUUCAUGAUUUUGAAAAAAAUCUUAUUGGUUUUGAAAAAUUCAUGGUUUUUGAUAAAAAAAAGUUCACGCAAUUGCUCUGUUUUUCUAUCGAGUUCGUGAACAUUCUUCCCAAUUUCAUGAAAAAUUUCAAAUCCAUGAUCUUUUUCAAACUCGUGAACAGUUUUCAAAUUGACAACUUUUAUCAAAUAAGUAAUAAAAUUUCAAUUUUAUGGACUUUUGGAAAAUCUGCGAAAUUUGUAAAAAUCAUUUUUUUCUCAAUUUAUUGAACUCUUUUCAAUUUCACAAACUUUUUUGAAUUCAUUAAAUAUUAUGAAUACAUGAACCUUUUUAGAAUGGGCGAACUUUUUUCUAAAAUCUGUGUUAUUUAAAAUGUUGAACAGAUUUUUUUUUAAACCAGUUUUUUCCUAAAAAUUUGAAAAAAUUUGAAAAUCUAAGCGAUAAAGCAAAGCAUACAAUAUGUUGUGUAAUAAAUAGCAUGACUACAGUUGUUCUUAACCAAUUCCUGACGCAAUCAGUUGCUAUCGCUAAGUAGCUCUAGUGGUUGGCCAAACAUGUACGUGAGUGUAACGGCUCAAGUACAAUUCCUGGAGGAGGGCCAUCUUUUUCGGGAUUCUUUUUCACGCUAUUAAAUGCAAUAAGGGCGUGUUUGGUUCUAGUUUGGAACAGUAGUCGCAUUGCAUAGCCUUCUCAACCCAGCCUGGUUGAGGAAAAACAGGCCCUAAUAUGCCAUAUGCAACUUGUUUGGUUGCCUGCAUCUCUAGUCCCUGCAUUAGGUAAUACGCAAGUGCACCAACGCCACGACACAACAAUGGUGACGAACUGGGCGAAGAUGAUGAAGUUCUUCAGCUUUAGGCCGAACUGACAAUCCACCUUAGCAGCUUCCACUUUGACAGCUCCAACCUUGGCACUGUCGACACUGCUGCCUCCGUGCUUUCGCAACCAGGCGGAGUAAGCUUGUUCUACUGCCUGACUAGUCUUGAACCCUCUAUAGUUGUUGUUGCUAUACGAUGCCACUUGUGCAUUGGCUUCUUCCCAUGAACUACAAACCCCUGGAACCUCACCGAUGAACAUGGCAUACCACUUGCCCUAGCAAUGCACAAGAGCAAGAGUUGAAGCAGCAAAUCAAUGGAGCACAAGUAGCAAGCAAAGUAGCACACAAACAACAAUGGAGCAAAAGAGAAGUAAAGCAUGCAUGAUCAUACGGCAUAGCAAGUUCAACCUAGCACUACCUUGGUGUUAACCUACCACCACAUCCAAAAGAGGGUGUCGUCCUACCACCGCAAGUUCACCAUUAGCGUGAGGGGUUAGUAUAUACCACCUCAUCAAAAUAUACAGACCAUCAAAUAGUUUUUGAGCCCUAGCUACACGAAAUGUACGUCGUCAUUGUCAUCGUCGUCGUCGUCGCCAUCGCCAAAAUGUGAGCCCUAGCUACACAAAUAGUUGUAGAAUAUUCUACCAAGAUAUUUAGGUAUUUGGAUGCCACUACAUUUUUUUAAUAUUAGAUUAUGUGUCACAACUGAAUUUGUGGUGGAUAUGGUCAGUUAUAUUUCCUUAUAUUUAGGGGGAAAAUUAUAUAUUUGAUUGUUCGAUCCCUCCAAAUCUUGGUACAAUAUUCUACCUAGAAAUAUUAUAAUAAAUAUCAUAAUAUAGUUAGCGCGACAACUUAAUUUAUUAAAGAAUGUGGUGUUUUGAAUUCCCUAAGAGUUAGGGAAAGAUUUUUUUUCAAAUGUCUCAAGAUAAAAUAAUCAUCGAAUAAUGUCUUCACUCUAUAGUUUAACACAAAAGGAGCAUUUGUAAUGAUAAAUCAUUGACAUUCUUUAUAUUUUUGAGAACCACUAUGUUCACAUAUUGGAUAGUGCUUAUCAUUAUCUUAGAAAUAGUUAUUGCCUGCUAUUUUGAGAAACAAAAAAAAUUAAAUUAUAUACUUACAAGAUAUAUUAAUAAGAAAAAUAACAUAUAAUUGUGGUAAAAUAACUAAGUUACUAAAAGUAAAAAAUAAUAAUAUAAAUAAUGCAUAUGUAUAUAUUUCCAACAUCAGACGUGUGUUUCAUGAAGGCAUUCUGCAACAGUCUACAGUAGUGUCGGUAGACGUUAUUAUAUAUCGGCUACUAACUUGCAAGUUCACACACCGAGCUUACAAGAUUAUAACUAGUUCAUUCCUAAUCCAACUCUAUACAGGCAGGGGUAAUGCUACAAUGUAACCAUGCGGCCCGGACAAGCUGAUGGAUGAUCACUGUGCCUUCUUCACCAUUCCGACUAGGGGCCGACCAUCAAGUCCCACAUCAUAUUUGACACCUGCCAAAAACACCUCGACUUCAAAACCACAAACCAUCCAUCGAUCAGAUGCAGAGGCCGGGGGUAUUCCUCCUUUUCUAAAAAAAAUAGACAGUGAGCACUGUAUCAAUACCUAUGGCUUCCUUAUUUCAAUAGAAUAUAGGACAUCCUUGACUGAUGCGAAGACCUUCGGGGACUGCUUGCGGAGCUCCAAUAUCCUCCUUGCUCUCCUCUUUCUGAUUUCCUGCACAUUCACAGCUGAUAAGAAGAAGAAAAAUGCAUCACUUGAGAUCCAGAGCUAGAACGAACCUUCAUGGUCUGUAGUUCCUCCCUGCAAUGCACAUAGAUACAUGUAGUAUUAGAUAAGCAUAAACAGUUCCCAAAUACUCCCUCCGUUUCUAAAUACAAGUCCUUUUAAAGAUUUCACUAUGGACUACAUAAGAAGCAAAAUGACUGAAUCUACACUCCAAAGUAUGUCUACAUACAUCCGUAUAUAUGUAGUUCAUAGUGGAAUGUCUAAAAAAGACUUAUAUUUACGAACGGAGGGAUUUAUAUAUGUAGAUCACGGAGCCGUCAAAUGACAUUGUNNNNNNNNNNNNNNNNNNNNNNNNNNNNNNNNNNNNNNNNNNNNNNNNNNNNNNNNNNNNNNNNNNNNNNNNNNNNNNNNNNNNNNNNNNNNNNNNNNNNNNNNNNNNNNNNNNNNNNNNNNNNNNNNNNNNNNNNNNNNNNNNNNNNNNNNNNNNNNNNNNNNNNNNNNNNNNNNNNNNNNNNNNNNNNNNNNNNNNNNNNNNNNNNNNNNNNNNNNNNNNNNNNNNNNNNNNNNNNNNNNNNNNNNNNNNNNNNNNNNNNNNNNNNNNNNNNNNNNNNNNNNNNNNNNNNNNNNNNAUAUGGCAUCUGCUGCCAAUUCAUCAUUCAUCAUGUAUAAUUGUAUAUCGCAAUAUAUACGGAGUAAAAUACAUGUUAACUUGGUUAACCGGCUUGUCCGCUUUAUUUGGUUUGGUCAUUGUAUUAUUCAGUAAAGUGCAAAAAUGCGGCCACUAGUUUAUUUUCCUGUACAUAUAGUAUCUAUCUUGAGUCGACGUGGCUGCAGGGCCCACCUGCCAGCCAGCUGUCGAAACCAUUGUCCAUCUUUGUUGUGCCCAUUGUUCGUUUGCUCUUUCCGAGACUAUGUUCAUUGCCUCUAUUAUGCCUGAUGCUGAAGAAGAAAACUUUGAAGAAUCAUCAUGGUUGUAACUAUCCAUGGAAAGACUUUUCCUACACAGUAGAAACAAAACGUCUUGUGUUUGCUAGUUAAAAACUCUGCUCUGCGGAUGCAACGCCCAUUCAGAAAAUGUCGGAAGUUCUAAUUUUGCUAAACUUAAUGUGAUGAUGGCAUCAGAAAACUGCUGGCAUUUCCAUUUUCUAGUACAACAGUGGUUCUGUAUUGGGUUCAGUUCAGUUCAGAGUGUGUCAAACAGAACAAAAUCCAACCCUGCAUUGACAGCAAUGUGCAUGCAGAGUCGCAGAAUCUGCACCGCAGCGGUAACAAAGUUGAGCAACCGGCCGUACAUACAAGUCAGAUCCAUCAAACUAUCCACAAAGGUUAAUCAACAACACCAAACAUGCCAAGUUAUCAUCUAACCCAAUCCCGAAUUUUGAACUAGCACUGCAAAUCAGGUAGUACUAAACCCAAGCCUGUCGAGUUUGGGUGCUACAACGAAUGAUGCUGUACUCUGAAACAAUGGACUUCAUCGAAGUCCGAGGUUAUAUGUUAUGCUUGUUCUUGAAUGACUUCCUGGACCUCCAUCAUUGUCAGCUUCUUUCUGCGACCGGAGACUGGAGUGGCUGAGCUUCGCUGAGAUAGUAGCCGACCUCUUUGUGUGGCUGUCACUUCUUUUGGACUUGUAAUCUGUGCUUAUGGGUUUUUUCCCUGAGGUAGAUGUUCAGACCAAUUUCUUAAAAAAAUGUGGAUGUUCCGACAUCGGGGCAUUAGCAGCUGGUUUUCCAUAAGCGCUCAGACUCGCUUCACUCUUUGCCCCCGUCCCCUGCUAUGCUUGUAAGAACAUGCUAUUUUUGUGUGAAUGGAAAGGGGGUAAUCCAGUUCGAGAUGGUCACAACUGUCAAGGUUAACCAUUUUCUUUAUAGAGGAGACAGACUGAAUGGUUGUUUCUGCCAUACUCGCCCACAAAAUAUUUUGUUUAAGGGCCUUUUUUGGUUCACAUGAUUCAAUAAACACAGGAACAAGAAGAAAAACACAAGAACUUACUAGAUUGAGCCAAAAAAUCCUAUGGAAUGGUACUGUAAGAAAGCACACAAAUUCAGAGAAUAAAAACUAAUACAAAUCUGUUGGACACUAGUCACAUCAUACAACUACGCACAAGCCAAUCUAGCGCACUACAAGCACAUAUACGUGCAGAUUAUUGGUGAAAGAAAACAAAGAGCUGCAGCUUAUAUAGUGUGAAGCAUAUAAGUGUCAUAAAUACAGCCAGGUACACUUCAUUUUGUUCACAACAAUCCGCUGCAUGGUGUCGAUGCAAUUGAAGAAUGCAAACCGCCAGAUCUUGCAGAAGAACAAUGCUCCAAACCAUACCCAGAAACCGAAGACAGUUCCAGCAAUCACCGAGUAGUACGACCACACCGUUUCAUGUUCAUGGUCGCCAUCAACUGGUGUUGUACUACUCGAAUUGUUUGUGGAUGGAAUGCUCAAUGGAGGGCCACAAAGUCCAAGGUUAUUUCCGUAGAUCAAUGGGUCCGCAAGUGUUUGGAGCUGACUGCUUGUAGGUAUCUCUCCAGACAGAGGUUGUUGGAGAGGUUGAGAGUGGUGGGGGACGUCAGGUUUGAGACACUAGGAGGAAUAGGACCGGAUAGUUUGUUCGAAGAGAGGUCAAGGGAUUCUAAUAAAUUUAGAUUGCCAAUAUCCAUGGGGAUACUACCAGACAGAUUAUUUCUUGAAAUAUUUAGUAACUGCAUGCCCCUGAGACUUGUCAGCUCUGAAGGGAUUUCACCGGAUAGAGAAUUACCAGAGAGAUCAAUACCAGUCACAAAUGCAUGUCUUCCCUCAAAAGCGUACUACCGCCCCUUCCAAAUUAUGUCCAUGCUGCCAUUGUAAAAAUAAAAAUAUCUAUAGGUGGUAAGUACUAUGACAUUUGUUACAACUGGUUGCAUCACAAAAGUCUGUCUCAUCAAGGAGAAGUUGACCAAACUUUCUGGUAUGGAACCUAUAAAAUUACGGUCUGUCUAGGUCUCAGUCGACUGCUCAGUCGGCUGACAUCAUCACAUGUAGAUAAGGCCUAGUAACUAGCUCCCUUUCUCAUAGGUUGAAUCCAGCUUAGCACCUGGGCUUAUUUUCUUUUUCCCUUAUUUGUUUGUUUGUUACUUUUGGGUUGGGCUGAUCACUUUGUUUGUUGUGAUUCGGCUGGGUCAUGAAGUUUUUAUUUGUGGGCCCGGACUACAUAGAAAAAGACAAAAAAAAACCUGUUUCCUACUCUGCUUUAUGAACUAUAUAUACUUUUUGACUGGUGGUGAUGAACAGACGCUGUCAAGCAAACAAACAAAAAAUGUGAGGCUCUUAACAAAAAAUAAGUGCUCUACUUCAAAACCAGUUUAAAGUUGUUUCACAAAAGAGCAAAAAGCAUAUCCACCAGUGAUGAAAAAUUUCAUAUACAAAAAAACAUGCAUAAAUUAACUCUGUUUUACAGAAAAAGCAGCAGUUUCAUCAUCUCUGUUUUCAAGUAUUCAUAUACAAAAAACAUAAAAAAAAAACACCUCACUAAAACCAACCUGAGUGAAAUCAAACACAGCCUUGUUCAACUGUAUGCAUCAGUUAACUCAAAACAUUGAAAAAAUAGCAGCAGUGGCAUCCUCAUGCCACCAAAAACAUACAUACAACAGGGAAUGGGUCGGGGCACCAUAUAUGUUUCAAAAGCUGGCAUUAGCAAUUCCGUAGCUACAUCAUAUGUACGUGGACGCAUAAACUAACAGGUGCAGAUCACUUGCACGGUAGUACUACAGGAGGACUGACUACUUACAAGCAUGUUGCUUAAGAUAUCCACUGAGAGUGAACUUGGAUACUUGUAAAUUCACAAACACAGAAUGUCUACUGAUAGUGAAUCGAAUUAGACUGACGCUCUCAUCAAGCACAGAAAAUUCAGAUGUACUCCUACCAAAAAAAAAAUGUGCAGAUUCCAAACAAACUUAAGAUCAAAAUAUUGAAUGAGAAUGGGUCCCGGGUGCAGAUUCCAUCCAGCUUACCUAAUCAGCAGGGCGCAAGGAGUCUGGAGGGGCGACGGGAUCGCCGAGCAUCUCGUUGCAGGCGUCGCCGAGCAUCUCGUUGCAGGCUUCGCCGAGCAUCUCGUCGCCGGUGAAUUCCGUCACGGAAACCUUCGAUGUGCCCGCCCCCGUGAUGCAGCUUCCUUCCUCUCCCAUUUCCUCUCUCUGUCUAUGCUCGUCUCUCAAUUCAAACAGUGUCGUUGGGUGGCCUCGAGAAAGAUGUUGAGCCUGGGUCCACAUCCCAAAGACAAGGAAAAUAAAAAAACAGCAUCACACCGUCUAUAGUCACUCCCUUCCUUCACAACAACAUUAAAAAUGUGUCCAAGGAUCUGGACAAGUAACUCUUCUCUCCUUUAAUAUGCUUCUUCUAUUUUGAGAAAAUGAUCUCCUGUCAGAAUCAGAUACAAAACAACAAAUUAAUUUUCUUCUUAAUCCUUGGGAAAACAAAAAAAAUGCAAAAAUAAAUAAGGAAAAAAUUGUAGUCCCUCCGUAAACUAAUAUAAAAGCGUUUAGAUUACUACUUUAGUGAUCUAAAUGUUCUUAUAUUAGUUUAUGGAGGGAGUAUAUGAUUUUAAAAAAAAGAUAAAACUCAAACUAGUUGUGAGGUCGGGUGCUUGAUUUGUGUUUGCGGGCAUGGCAGAAAACGGGGGUGUUAUGGUGCUCGUGUGACACAUAGCGAGGAUAGAGGAUUUACGGAGAAGGUGCCCCCUUCCGACCAGGCAAAAAAGUCUAGUUGCAAAUUUUUUUGUAAAAAGACAUGUAGUUAUAGUCUGGGGGACAGCGCUUGGAAUUGCAUGCACGCUUCUGCUGUUGUAUCCUGUAUAUAUAUAGAUCGAGGUGAUGUCCGCAUACAUGCAUAUCUCAAUCGUAUAUGGUCGAUCAUGUAUACAUGGCAUGUAUAUAAGGUAUGUACGAUUUGAGUGUUUAGGACAGCAACUAGGUGUGUCUUGACGCCAUGAGCAGGGCGCUGAUUGCGGCUGGGUGUCUUCUCGCGUAGCUUCUUUGAUGGUGCUACGUCGGCUCUGUGGGGCUUUGUACUCCAUUUUUCUUUUCUUUUCGGGCAUAAUUGUGAAGUUCCCUAGCAGGCCCUUUAUUUUUAUGUUUGACCCGUGAACUUGUUGUGUAGACGUGAUGGUUUGCCUUCAUAUAUAAAGCUGGGUGAAAGCCUAUUUUGAGACUUGGUGACCCCGCCUAACAACUUGUGUGACGAUAAGUAGGACACGAUACUCGAUUUGCCUAUCUUAGGACUUGUUGAAUGCAAGGUGCUUAGGGGAGGUUCUUAGAGAAAUAAACCAACUUUUCUUCAUGCAUCAAUGCUUAUUUGUAGAGGGUAGAUAUUUAAUUAGGCACCCUUCUUAUAGAGAUAACCGAUGGUGCUUAAACAAGAAACUUAAAGGUUUUUCUUUAAUCAGUGGACGUUCACAUACAUUAAUGUACACUCCCCUAUGAAUGCACACACGCACACUAUCCCUUAUGAGCAUCUCUGAGAAACUGAAUCAACGGGUCGUGAGAUUGACGAAGUCACACCAUGUGCAUCGCUAUCGAUGGGCUCAUCGCUUACACCCAAAGAAUAAGUCAUUAUACCCUGAAAUAUAUCUGGAGAAGUGCAAACACCCUUCUCAAGUCAAGGACUUGAACCCGGUUGCUUCCACCACAAGGAACAUAACAAACUGUGCUACGCUCAAUUCACCAAAGAAAUAAUGGUUUGCGAUGUAUUAACCCUAUAUGUGUCUCUUUUCCGACUCUUUAUUUUUAUUCAACUUCCAGAUGAUAACCUCCCACAUGACUCAUAACACAAAACAAGGAAAAAAAAGGACUUGACUUGGCCGCAACGUGAACCAGCACGGUUCUGGCCUACAUAUAAACUAGCUACAGAUUCUACAGGAGUGAUCGGAUCGAAUCAAAUUUACAAAUUAACUUACUGUAACGCAAACUGAUCUACUCGACAUAAACACACAUAACUUCAUCCUGGCCAGAGGACGUCGAUCACCGCGCGGCUGUUGUCACCUUUUUCGAGGCUAAUUCUUCUUAGACGGUGUCGUCUGUUUCAUCUGCUUCUUCUGAGGCAGGAGCGACUUCCUACUAGAGGCUGCUGUCUUGGUCAACUGCGUAUUGCUUGACGAUGCCUUCGCCUUCUUUGGGGGAACCUUUGCAGCUUGCUCGCCCAUGACAAGAUCUGCUUCUCUUCCAAUAAUUCUUCUUCUACGGUGAGGUAGCUGAGGUGAGGUGGAUAGUGUUUACUUUGCUCCGGUUGGGUUGAGGAAGCCUGCGGUAAUGGCUCCAUAUAUAUAGGAGGGGGAAGGUCUUUGAGAAAGCGCUCCGACCGGACGACGCGCUUCCACCGUGCGUGAGAAUGGUUUGGUGGCGUUAAUGUUGCCAGUGCCGGUCAGUCUCUUUUGUUUUGUUUUGGGAGUAGAUAUUUACUAUAUUCAAUGCAUUGUUCUUCAUGGAUGGGUAUGCGGUUGGGUCAAUGGUUGUGGUCGCUGCCGCGUUGGUCUUCGUUUCUCCUCCUGCUCCUUAUAUUACUACUAACAUGAGAAUACGUGUUGGUGGUGCAGUUUUGGUAGCACACGCCAUACACUCACACUGCUUGUUAGUUGUUAGUCAUAUAUAUGCAUGUACUGUACGUCAAUCAUCAUUGAUGUAGUAAGUACAUACGAUGUUGCCAUUGCAGGACAUGUUUUGGUAGAGCUUGAGUUUAGAUUAGCUAAACCGAUUGUUAUGAAUUUAUCAUGUGCUACAAAUCUUGUAUAUAUGUUUGUAACUUUGUAUAUUAGUUAGGUGUCGAGUUGAGAAACGGGAGACAAGAGAGUUAUUUCUCGAUGUUCAGACCUAGUGAGGGAGAAGUUUUCUCUAUUCUUUUCAACGGAAUUCUUCAGUUAUUAUGGCUUGCUCACUAUUUGGUUUUUGGGUGUUUGCCUAAAUUCGAAACUUUUGAUGGCGGGCAAAAAAUAUGUCAACCUUUUCCCCUCAACAUGGUUGGACCAAUACUGAGGUGCGGGAGACAAGAGGUGGUACCAUAUGCCAGCGUAUGUCAAGUGUUUGAAACAAAUGCAUCACAUUACAUAUUAGACGUAUAGAUGUUCAUCAUACAUUUAAAAUAUUAAGAUGCUUUUGAAAAAUCUCUCCUUCUGAAAUCCUAACUGCCAUGACUCAAUUAUGCAGGGAUUCUUGAAAGCAUACUAACUACCUACUACAAAGUAGCCAUACGAACUAACUAUUGAUCAUACUAAUCUAUCCAUAUAUACCUAGUGUUGAUUCAGUCGGAAAGCAUGAGGCAUGCCGCGCCACUAAAGCCAUCAAACAUUAGUCAAAUUAUAUUUCAUCAGCUGGCCAGUAGGCAAAGAUCAUGUCAAGGUUCAAAAAUGAAUAGGAGUCGGCCGGCCUUCACAUCGCACGCACAAGCUGCCUAGCUUGGCCGACCUUCUCUUCUUUAUUUAAUUUACUCCUCCUGCUACCACUGCAUCUCGUUAACCACUAAUAUUUGAGCAAGUUAAGUAAGUUAAUACCACUGCAUAAGAACACCGCUCAACCCCUCUCUAGAGUCUUGCCGCUGCUCAAUUGCUACCUCCCUACCUUGAGCCGUUCCACUUAUUUUCCAUGGGGGUAAUGCUAGCUGUAAUUGGUUGCUGAUAUGGCAGUAAGACAACUCUGAACUCCACCACUGGACUUCUCCAGUCUUAGAUCGCUUCUAACGAAUUUCGCAAGAAACUGGGACGAACACACACAAGCCAGAUGUAGUUCAUUAAUCAUGUAUACUUCUUUUCUGAUUCAUUUCUUUUAUUUGUUCAUCCGACAACAUGACUCGAUAACACCAGGAAAAACAUAAAUAGCCGCAACAUGAACUGGCACACUUAAAAAAAAUUGUUGGAAAAACUUCCAUUCUAUUCAUCAAUAUCAUUAUAGUACAAAGUACAACACAGGUAAUAUAAAUUCCAUCCAAGUCCAUAGACCAUCUAUUCAUCAAUUGGAACACACUGGCUUACAUGUCACGGGCUCGAACCAAUCGAGUUUAUAAAUGUAUUAACUUACUGUAAUAUAACUGAACUCGUCUCAACACACUUAACUUCAUCGAAGAUGGACGCCGUAGAUGGAUGGAGAUCAUCGGCGUGUGCUAGAAGCGGUUGGACGUGUGGGAGCGGCACGACUACGACUUGUCGUCGCAGACAAGGGCGGGGCCGUCGUCCUAGCCGUUCUUGAGGUCGAUGCACCCGGACGCAACGUCGUUGGCUGGUUUGAGGCCACUGUUGCUCUAGUUGACGUUCGUGAGGUCCCAGACGGAGCAGCUCUUGUUGACAUUCUCGAGGUCACAAGAGGAGCCACCGUCGCUGAUGCUGUUGACGUUCUUGAGCUCGUGUAUGAAUUUGCCGUUGUUGACGUUCUUGAGAUCGCAUGCGGAUUUGAGGUUGUCGUUGUUGAGGUCGCAUACCGAUUCGCCGUUGUUGAAGUUCUUGAGCUCGCACGCGGAUUUGCCGUUGCCGGCGUUCUUGAGGUAGCGGGUUGAGCCGACGUUGCUGAUAUUCUUGAGCCCGCGGGCUGAGCUGCCAUUGCUGACGUUCUUGAUGCAGUGGAGGAAGCCACCCUUGCUGAAGAUCUUGAGGCCACAGGUGUAGCCACCCUUGGUAACGUUGUUGAGGCCACCGGCGGAGCCACUGUUGUUGACGGUCUUGAGGUAGUCGCCGGUGUUGGUGUUCUUGGGGUUGUGGGCGCACCCGCCGGUGACCUCGCCUUCUUCUGACCGAGAAACUUUGCUGGAAACAUGACACAAUUUUGUUUUGCUUCCUUUUCUUCUUCGAGAUCAGGUGAGGUAAGGUGUAUGUGGUGGUUGCUUUGCUCCGGUUGGGUUGAGGGAGCCUGCAUCGAUGGCAAUGUAUAUAUAUAGGAGCAUAAUGCGUUGUUG
rnacentral:lncRNA from 1 species